rnacentral:rRNA from 1 species
GACGGAAGGUGCAAGCGUUGCUCGGAAUCACUGGGCGUAAAGGGUGCGUAGGCGGCUUGGUGGGUCUGGUGUGAAAGCCCCGGGCUCAGCCCGGGAAGGGCACUAGAAACUGCCGAGCUGGAGUGCCGGAGGGGAGAGUGGAAUUCCUGGUGUAGCGGUGAAAUGUGUAGAGAUCGGGAGGAACACCGGUGGCGAAGGCGGUCUUCUGGACGGUGACUGACGCUGAGGCGCGAAAGCGUGGGGAGCAAACGGG